rnacentral:lncRNA from 1 species
CAGUGCCCUGAACGGUCCCUCCAGAAGCACUGAAGUAGUUAACAAAUAUCUAGUGUCUACUUGGGAUGGAACACUGGCUCCGGUCCUGGGGAGAAGCAGAUGGGGACACAAAGACAAGUAAGACAAGGUCCCUGUCUAAUGGUAAGCAUCACUGUGUGACUCAGUUCUGGCCAAUUAUAUAGGAAGAAAGUCUCGGAUGAAGAAAGUCUUUUCUUUGUUAAUGAAAAGGAGAAUGCCUCUACAAGAAAAGAUCUUUUUCAAUACCACUCUGCUGCCCUCUUCGUACCUUGAUGUUGUUUGGAGCUACAGCACCCAUUCCAAGAUAAUGAGGUGGCCUUUGGCAUCACAUCCCUAUGAAGUUCCUUCCUCACUGAAUAUGGGCUGGUCUGUGACUUCUGUAACAAUUGAACAUAGCAGAAGAUAUGCUGUGCCUAUUUCAGAAACAUGCCUCAAGAAGACUUGGCAGUCCUGGCUUUUGCACUUUGGGAUCCCUUAG